ACAAUACACUACAUGGAGAGGUAGGAACAGGGGACUGUUUAUCUCAACCUCUCCUAAAGACAAUACACUACAUGGAGAGGUAGGAACAGGGGACUGUUUAUCCCAACCUCUCCUAAAGACAAUACACUACAUGAAGAGGUAGGAACAGGAGACUGUUUAUCUCAACCUCUCCUAAAGACAAUACACUACAUGGAGAGGUAGGAACAGGGGACUGUUUAUCUCAACCUAAAGACAAUACACUACAUGGAGAGGUAGGAACAGGAGACUGUUUAUCUCAACCUCUCCUAAAGACAAUACACUACAUGGAGAGGUAGGAACAGGGGACUGUUUAUCUCAACCUAAAGACAAUACACUACAUGGAGAGGUAGGAACAGGAGACUGUUUAUCCCAACCUCUCCUAAAGACAAUACACUACAUGGAGAGGUAGGAACAGGGGACUGUUUAUCUCAACCUCUCCUAAAGACAAUACACUACAUGGAGAGGUAGGAACAGGGGACUGUUUAUCCCAACCUCUCCUAAAGACAAUACACUACAUGGAGAGGUAGGAACAGGGGACUGUUUAUCUCAACCUCUCCUAAAGACAAUACACUACAUGGAGAGGUAGGAACAGGGGACUGUUUAUCUCAACCUCUCCUAAAGACAAUACACUACAUGGAGAGGUAGGAACAGGGGACUGUGUAUCUCAACCUCUCCUAAAGACAAUACACUACAUGGAGAGGUAGGAACAGGGGACUGUUUAUCUCAACCUAAAGACAAUACACUACAUGAAGAGGUAGGAACAGGGGACUGUUUAAAGACAAUACACUACAUGGAGAGGUAGGAACAGGGGACUGUUUAUCCCAACCUCUCCUAAAGACAAUACACUACAUGAAGAGGUAGGAACAGGGGACUGUUUAUCUCAACCUAAAGACAAUACACUACAUGAAGAGGUAGGAACAGGGGACUGUUUAAAGACAAUACACUACAUGGAGAGGUAGGAACAGGGGACUGUUUAUCUCAACCUCUCCUAAAGACAAUACACUACAUGGAGAGGUAGGAACAGGGGACUGUGUAUCUCAACCUCUCCUAAAGACAAUACACUACAUGGAGAGGUAGGAACAGGGGACUGUUUAUCUCAACCUAAAGACAAUACACUACAUGAAGAGGUAGGAACAGGGGACUGUUUAAAGACAAUACACUACAUGGAGAGGUAGGAACAGGGGACUGUUUAUCUCAACCUCUCCUAAAGACAAUACACUACAUGGAGAGGUAGGAACAGGGGACUGUGUAUCCCAACCUCUCCUAAAGACAAUACACUACAUGGAGAGGUAGGAACAGGGGACUGUUUAUCUCAACCUCUCCUAAAGACAAUACACUACAUGGAGAGGUAGGAACAGGGGACUGUUUAAAGACAAUACACUACAUGGAGAGGUAGGAACAGGGGACUGUUUAUCUCAACCUCUCCUAAAGACAAUACACUACAUGGAGAGGUAGGAACAGGGGACUGUUUAAAGACAAUACACUACAUGGAGAGGUAGGAACAGGGGACUGUUUAAAGACAAUACACUACAUGGAGAGGUAGGAACAGGGGACUGUUUAAAGACAAUACACUACAUGGAGAGGUAGGAACAGGGGACUGUUUAUCCCAACCUCUCCUAAAGACAAUACACUACAUGGAGAGGUAGGAACAGGGGACUGUUUAUCUCAACCUCUCCUAAAGACAAUACACUACAUGGAGAGGUAGGAACAGGGGACUGUUUAUCUCAACCUCUCCUAAAGACAAUACACUACAUGGAGAGGUAGGAACAGGGGACUGUUUAUCCCAACCUCUCCUAAAGACAAUACACUACAUGAAGAGGUAGGAACAGGGGACUGUUUAAAGACAAUACACUACAUGGAGAGGUAGGAACAGGGGACUGUUUAUCUCAACCUCUCCUAAAGACAAUACACUACAUGGAGAGGUAGGAACAGGGGACUGUUUAUCCCAACCUAUCCUAAAGACAAUACACUACAUGGAGAGGUAGGAACAGGAGA